ensembl:misc_RNA Metazoa_SRP Metazoan signal recognition particle RNA
GUCGGGUGUGGUGGUACAUGCCUGUAGUCCCAGCUACUCUGGAGGCUAAGGCAGGAGGAUCGCUUGAGCCCAGGAGUUCUGGGCUGUAGUGUGCUAUGCUCAUUGGGUUUCCGUGUUAAGUUCAGCAUCAGUAUGGUGACUUUCUGGGAGCAGGAGACCACCAGGUUGCCUAAGGAAGGGUUAACCAGCCCAGGUUAGAAAUGGAGCAGGUCAAAACUCCCAUGGUGAUUAGUAGUGGGAUUGUGCCUGUGAAUAGCCACUGCACUCCAGCCUGGGCAACAUAGUGAGAUCCUAUCUCUA